UAGUACAUAUAUAUAUAUGUAAAAAGUUUAGAAAAAAAAAUUAAAACAGUUCACCAAAACUCUAAAUUCAUCGUUGUUCAUCAAAAUUCAUCGUUCUUCAUCGAAAUUCAUCGCUGUCGUUUCCUUUUUGCUUUUUGGAUAACCAAAAUCUCGAUUCUGAAAAAAAUUGGUCAGAUUUGUUGGUAAAAGCUGCUCAAAUCUGUUGAUUAAAUAUUGUUGGUCAAAGCUGUUCAUCUCUUCAAUUGAUUUUUGCUUGAAAUUCUUAGUUUUCUCAAAUAAGGUUCUCAAAAUUUGUGCUCCAUAGUGUAUGUGGUCAAAAUCCUUUUGCGUAUUAUGUUUAACCCUUUAACAAAUGAGCUUGAGCUUGGAUUUUGUUAUGAUUUUGAUGGUUGGGUGGUGAUCAUCGGGGUUCUUUUUGACAUGGGUGUUGGUGAUUUUCUUGAUUUUUAUUGUUGUUUGAUGGGAUUGGUCAACCAAACACAUGCGUUAAUGGAGUUAAAAGGGUUUUUUUCUCCCGUCUUUCCUUUUGUGUAUUGUUGUUGCAAGUUUUGGGUUCGGUGUUGUUUCAUCAUAUAUUUUGGGUUCUGUCUUGUUUCAUCAGUUAUUGUUACUGCGGUUCUUACUAAAUUAUAUACUGAUUGUGCUCUACCAGAUGAGAUUGGUUUGGUUUUAUGCUUGUGUAGUUGUUUUGUGGCCUUACUCUUUCCAGGACACCAACCAUGUGUUUUGACUGAUGUGCACUGAUGUCGAGUUGGUUACCGGAAAACUCUAGGACGUUGAAGCCCCAAUUUUGCUGCUCAAAGAAAGAAUGAUCCUGAACGAGCACUGAGAAUGACCACAAGACAAACAUUGGUUGAGAUAUGUAGAGACGUUCUUAAAUAAUGGGUUGACCAUGGAGAAGCAUGAGGGCGUAGAAUGCAUUUUUGAUUUUUGAUCAUAUGUAUGAAUAUGAUAAAACUGAAGCACUAUGUCGUUCUUAACAUAUAUGCUGUUGACUUCUUAUUAAGGAAUGUACUUAUAAUAUUUGAUGGGAGGAUGAUUUUGUAAAACACUAUUGGAUGCUUUUAUUAGCUAAUAUUAUUUGUAGUUCUUAAAA